GAUGAACGCUGGCGGCGUGCCUAAUACAUGCAGGUCGAGCGAACGGACGAGAAGCUUGCUUCUCUGAUGUUAGCGGCGGACGGGUGAGUAACACGUGGAUAACCUACCUAUAAGACUGGGAUAACUUCGGGAAACCGGAGCUAAUACCGGAUGAUAUUUUGAACCGCAUGGUUCAAAAGUGAAAGACGGUCUUGCUGUCACUUAUAGAUGGAUCCGCGCUGCAUUAGCUAGUUGGUAAGGUAACGGCUUACCAAGGCAACGAUGCAUAGCCGACCUGAGAGGGUGAUCGGCCACACUGGAACUGAGACACGGUCCAGACUCCUACGGGAGGCAGCAGUAGGGAAUCUUCCGCAAUGGGCGAAAGCCUGACGGAGCAACGCCGCGUGAGUGAUGAAGGUCUUCGGAUCGUAAAACUCUGUUAUUAGGGAAGAACAUAUGUGUAAGUAACUGUGCACAUCUUGACGGUACCUAAUCAGAAAGCCACGGCUAACUACGUGCCAGCAGCCGCGGUAAUACGUAGGUGGCAAGCGUUAUCCGGAAUUAUUGGGCGUAAAGCGCGCGUAGGCCGGUUUUUUAAGUCUGAUGUGAAAGCCCACGGCUCAACCGUGGAGGGUCAUUGGAAACUGGAAAACUUGAGUGCAGAAGAGGAAAGUGGAAUUCCAUGUGUAGCGGUGAAAUGCGCAGAGAUAUGGAGGAACACCAGUGGCGAAGGCGACUUUCUGGUCUGUAACUGACGCUGAUGUGCGAAAGCGUGGGGAUCAAACAGGAUUAGAUACCCUGGUAGUCCACGCCGUAAACGAUGAGUGCUAAGUGUUAGGGGGUUUCCGCCCCUUAGUGCUGCAGCUAACGCAUUAAGCACUCCGCCUGGGGAGUACGACCGCAAGGUUGAAACUCAAAGGAAUUGACGGGGACCCGCACAAGCGGUGGAGUAUGUGGUUUAAUUCGAAGCAACGCGAAGAACCUUACCAAAUCUUGACAUCCUUUGACAACUCUAGAGAUAGAGCCUUCCCCUUCGGGGGACAAAGUGACAGGUGGUGCAUGGUUGUCGUCAGCUCGUGUCGUGAGAUGUUGGGUUAAGUCCCGCAACGAGCGCAACCCUUAAGCUUAGUUGCCAUCAUUAAGUUGGGCACUCUAAGUUGACUGCCGGUGACAAACCGGAGGAAGGUGGGGAUGACGUCAAAUCAUCAUGCCCCUUAUGAUUUGGGCUACACACGUGCUACAAUGGACAAUACAAAGGGCAGCGAAACCGCGAGGUCAAGCAAAUCCCAUAAAGUUGUUCUCAGUUCGGAUUGUAGUCUGCAACUCGACUACAUGAAGCUGGAAUCGCUAGUAAUCGUAGAUCAGCAUGCUACGGUGAAUACGUUCCCGGGUCU
rnacentral:rRNA from 1 species